CAAUCUGAGGCUCAAACCUCACAAACCUCAAAUCUUCAGCUCAAGAGUAAAAGCAAUAAACACUACCACUUGUGGUGUAUGGCAUUCAAUGCACCAUUGUGUGUAAUGCCUGGAUCCAACACUUACUAGCUGUGUGACUUUGGCCAGGUACCUUGACCUCUCAGAUCAUUUUCCACAAACAUGCAAUGCAAACAACAUCACCAGGGUGGUAAAGAAUAAAUGAGAUCAUGUUUCUAGAAUCACUAACAGUUCCUAGAACAGGGCAAAUCCUUAAAAUAAGGUAGCAAUUAUAUUGUUAAUGUCAAUAUUCUUUUUCUAAUCCCAGGCUACAGAACAAUGUGAAGGAAGAACUUCCUUUCCUUAUGCCUCUCUUUUCCUCUUCAGAAUCAAUGACCUGUCUCAUCUCUCCCGAGCAAACCACAGAACACAGCUUGGCAUGCCAUGGUUUUAGAUAAGCAGAGAACUGAGGAAUAGUUUACUACCACCAAAAGAAAAAAAAAAUUUUUUUUUAAAUAAGGCUAGUUAUCUGAUCAAUGAAUUCACAUGAUUGACUACAAUGUGCAGUUAUGAUAUUGGCAUAGCACCAGGUAAAAUAGCUUUUAAAUGUUCCAUUAGAAGAUAAUACAUUCACAUGAUUAUGAAUUACAAUUAAUUGAGUAGAAACUAUGUAUCAAGUGACACAUGGAAUUUGGUAAUCUUGUCAAGAACCGUAGAAACUUUGACAUUUUUAAUAUAAGGAAUUUCAUAUUUGAUAUAUUUUGCUCAUUUGUUCGAACAGUGGUACUUUUUAAUAGACAUAACUCUCUGAAAAUAUUUAGAUUUGAAGACAUAUAAUUGCAUUGGAAUACUUCUUUUUUAAUAACAAUCCUGAUGAGUUUAAUUUAACCAAAAUUUUUACUUCAUUUAGCACUCAGGAAGUUGGAAAUUAUUUUACGCAAUGGUAAUUUUCUCCCUCUUUUUUUUUUUUUUCCGAACACUAACUGGGAUGUGAAUGAACUAGUAGUGCUUAGAAAUAUAAUUUUCAAAUUUCUCUUAUGAAUUAAUAAAGAGGUGGUCAGUUGGAUGAUGGUGACCUAGCAAACUAGAUCAGUGGGGUACGAACCUUAUUUUUUUUCUCUCUCUUUGGAUUCCUAGCACAGAAUAGGUGCUGAGCAAAUAUUUAGGGCAGGAAUAGAGGGAUGGAUGGAUAAAAGAAAAUAAAUACUUCUUUUUAUGGUCUAGGUAUUAUAGCAUUCUAAACUACUGGAAAUGCACAUGUGAGGAUUCCUCUGGAUAUCAUCCCCCACUCUCCACCUCCAUGUUUGAUAGCACCAUUAUAAUGUUGUGGAUUUAGAUUUGCAUGACUAGAUAUUCAGCCAACACAUGCAUAGAUCAAGCUGGGCCAGGAUGCACUGAGCUCAUCACAGACGUGCCUUCUGAUAUAAUCUAUGAGAUUGCUAGCUCAGGAAAAUCUACUUAAUGUCUAUGGGUCUCAUUUUCUUUCUACAGUGAGGAUGUGUAAUCUCUGUCUGCCAUGCCUCUAAGAACUCUAGGAAAGACUGACCUAGAAUAGGAAAAUAAUUACAUGCAUACCUGGCUGCACACAUGAAUGAUUCUUUGUUGUUGUUUUUGCUGUUAUUUGGGAUGUUCCUACCAUAAUCCAGAUCUUUCUAACAUUUGCAGGAGAUAACUUCAGAUCCAAAAGUGAAGUCAAGGAAGAUUUGGCUUCUCUUUUGAAGGCUUUGAUCCAGGAGCCUCAGGGCAGGCUUUAAACUGCUUCUAAGAGAUGUAUACUGCAUUUUGUUGUGUAAGGAUUGUGGCCCCAGGGGUUCUCCCAGACUUCUCUCCCAAUUUUGCUGUGGAUAUUCAAGUCCCUUAUAUAAAAUGCAACUGUAUUUGCAUAAAACCUAAGCAUAUCCUCGUAUUUACUUUAAAUCAUCUCUAAUUACUUAUAAUACCUAGUAUAACUGUCAUUGUUAUAAAUACAAUGUAAAUACUAUGUAAAUAGUUGCUGGCCUGUGGCCAUUUAACUUUUACUUUUCAAGCUUUCUGGAUUAAAAAAAAAAAAAAAAUUCCAUCCGUAUUUAGUUAAACCUGCAGAUGCAGAGCUCACCAAUGUGGCGGGUCAGCUGCAGUGGUUUUUAGGUCUAGGCUAUGAGGAACCGUGAUCCUCCUACUCCAUCAUUGUUCAAGUUCGGAAUGUGCAUUUCUGCAUCUCUCUGGUGGUUGGAAGACUUCUCCCUUGACUAAACUUUAAUCUGCUCCUCUGACUCAGGUGUUGGAUUAGGCCCAAAUUUGGUCUUCUUUCUCUGUCUUCACAGAAUCUAGUUUGAGCAAGAAUCUUUUUUUUUUCCUUUUUUCUUUUUAGGGCCGAACCUGCAGCAUAUGGAAGUUCCCAGGCCAGGGGUCAAACUGGAGCUGUAGCCACUGGCCUAUGCCACAGCCAUAGCAAUGCCAGAUCCACACUGUGUCUGUGAUCUAGAACACAGCUCACGGCAACACCGGAUCCUUAACCCACUGAGCGAGGCCAGGGAUCAAACCCAUAUCCUCAUGGAUACUAGUAGGAUUCAUUCCCACUGUGCCACAACAGAAAUUCCUGAGCAAGAAUCUUAGUAACUCUUUGGGGAGAAUUUUCCACCCUCUAUAUGCCUUCAGCAAGAAUUCUGUUAGGGCGGUCCACCAAGAAUCCCCUUUAGCUCCGAGGUUUCCUCUUAGUAAUGUUUAUCCACUGCAUCUGCUUCUUGUAUACAAAUCCCCAUGUGUCCUUAUUGGAAUGGAGUUGAGUUUGAUCUCUCUCCCCUACUACAAGACCUCACGUAGUAGAUGAACUUGAAGAAAGUAUGCCUUAGUCUUUAAUGGAUGUCAUCAAUAAUUUUUUCUUUAACAAGAAUACAUGUAUCAACUUUUGAUUAUUUCCCCUCUUUACAAUGCUUUAUUUUCAGUAAAUCUAUCUACUGUCUAGAAUGUAAGCCCUUUGGGGAUCAGAGACGUCAUCUUUUUCUCCAUGUAUCACCUAGCACAGAGCCUGCUAUACUGCAGGUAUUUUAAUAGAUAAUUGUUGGAAUAUUAGGAGUGAUGAUAAAAUUUGCGUUGCUCAUUCUGAUGGGGUAAGGCCUUGUUUGGGGCUGUAUGUCUAACUGCUGCAAAUCCCUUUUUAGAAAAGGAGAUAAAACCUCAAGCCUAAAAUCCUCAAUGGUGCAAAGGUUGGCUAGCUCAGUUUGCCUAGAGUGUGGUGCUAAAAUCCUCAGUGGUGAAUGUCAAGCUAGAAUUUAAUAA
rnacentral:lncRNA from 1 species